rnacentral:rRNA from 1 species
UACAGAGGUCCCAAGCGUUGUUCGGAUUCACUGGGCGUAAAGGGUGCGUAGGUGGUCGGGUAAGUCUGAUGUGAAAUCUCCGAGCUCAACUCGGAAAUGGCAUUGGAAACUACCUGGCUGGAGGGUUGGAGGGGGGACUGGAAUUCGUCGGUGUAGCAGUGAAAUGCGUAGAUAUCGUAAGGAGACCAGUGGCGAAGGCGGGUCUCUGGACAGUUCCUGACGCUGAGGCACGAAGGCCAGGGGAGCAAACGGG